rnacentral:rRNA from 1 species
CAUGGUUGUCGUCAGCUCGUGUCGUGAGAUGUUGGGUUAAGUCCCGCAACGAGCGCAACCCUCGACCUUAGUUGCCAGCAUUCAGUUGGCACUCUAAGGUGACUGCCGGCUAAAAAGUCGGAGGAAGGUGGGGAUGACGUCAAAUCAUCAUGCCCCUUAUGACCUGGGCUACACACGUGCUACAAUGGGCGGUACAAAGGGUCGCGAACCCGCGAGGGGGAGCCAAUCCCAAAAAGCCGCUCUCAGUUCGGAUUGCAGGCUGCAACUCGCCUGCAUGAAGCCGGAAUCGCUAGUAAUCGCGGAUCAGCAUGCCGCGGUGAAUACGUUCCCGGGCCUU